GGCUUCGGCGCAGGUGCGGGCGCAGGUGCCGGCGCAGUGCAGGCCGCCUUCCGCAGGGCAGGCAGGAGGCCAUCCUGGGCUGUUCCUCCAACGUCUCUGGGCCAAGAUUCCACGUCAAGGGCUUCAGCUGGACUGUGGUCAGAGCCCCAGGAGGAGCAGGAGGCAUGAAAGGAGCUGCCCUUCUCAGCAGAGUCCACCCUUAACUCCUGAGCUGGGCCCCGUGCUGCAGAGACCCUUCCUGCCUGUUCCUCAUCUUUGUUGUCCCUGCAUGUUCCCCUGUCUUCCCUGGAAGCAGCUCGGGGACUGGAGGUGUGAACAGGCGAGGCUCUGUCCUCAGACCCAAAUCCUGGCAAAGGCGCUUCUUCCACAUGAUCCAAGAAGCACGCCUCUUUUUAGGCAUGUAAGGCUUGGGGUGCUGGAAAACAGCUCUCUUCCAUGAGUCCAAUUUGUAAAAAGAAAGAAUGACACAAAACACUGGGGGGGAAGGGGUGUGUGUGAUGUAAUACCUCUGAGGCCAGGUCAGAAAAGAUGUUUUGAAGUACAGUGUAUUGAUAGAAAAGCUGAGGUGCAGUGAGGCUGACAGAUCAGGAGACGUUGCUAUUGAUAAACAUAGCUUGUUACUCAUAGAUCCAGAGCAGACCACAUUACCGGGAGCCAUGCUGGGGGGGCCGUAAGUACCAGGGUCACUCGGGAGAUGGAGAGAGGCAGAAAGGUGGGCAAGAACUGUUAUUGUGGUUUCUGCAGGAAUAAAACACGUGAGACAGGAAGGCAGACUUAGGACUGGCUGGUUUGGAUCAUUUCAGGGGGCUCUGGAACACAGGGGCUGCCCCUGGUUGUCUGGCAUCUGAUCCCGCAGGUGACUGGGACAGCUGGGCAGGUGCAUAGUGGCCCAGAGCAUGGGAGCCCCAUAAAGGAGGUGGUUGGGAGUGGCCCUGGAUUGGUUGGUUUGCAUUUGAAAAAACGCAUUCCAGGAAUCCACUGACCCAGGAAGAGGCAAUCCCUGUGGGGUCAGACAAGGCCCUAGAUGUGAAAGCACUGGAAUACAGAAAAUCACGGAGCUGCUGUCUGGUUUCUGGGACAGUUUCCUUUCAAGCCUGGAGCUGCUGGCCCGGCAACCUGAGCAGCCUCUCGUAUGAUGCCACCUCCUGCUUCCUCACUGCCCAACCCGGCAGUCCGCCUGACUCUCUGGCCGUUGGUCUCCAGUGCCCUGGAAACAUCCUCACCUUCUACCUCGCCUGUCAAAAGAGCAAGAAGAUCAACACAGCAGGAGAUGGCUCCUCAGCAUUUGAAAACUCAGAGUGUCAGCAUCCUCCUCCUCUUCCUUCCAGGCAAAUAAGGUCUAGGGUCACCUGGGUGGCUCAGUUGGUGAAGCGUCUGCAUGAUCUCAGGGUCCUAGGAUUGAGUCCCGCGUCAGGCUCCCUGCUCAGCCAGGAGUCUGUUUCUCUCUCUCCCCUCUGCCUCUCUCCUUGCUUGUGUUCUCUCUCACUCUCAAAUAAAUAAAGAAAAUCUUUUUUAAAAAAGUGAGAGAGGGGAAGCCCGGGUGGCUCAGCAGUUUAGUGCCGCCUUUGGCCCAGGGUGUGAUCCUAGAGACCUGGGAUCGAGUCCCGCAGUCGGGCUCCCUGCAUGGACCCUGCUUCUCCCUCUGCCUGUGUCUCUGCCUGUCUCUAUCUCUCAUGAAUAAAUAAAAUCUUAAAAAAAAAAAGAGAAUAAAGUCUAAUGAGUCACUGGCUUUAAGAUGAUAUCUAGGCAGACCUGAAGCAUAGACGAUUUGAGGGGUGGGUUUGUUAAGAAAAAAAUGAGAGAAUAAAUACUUGGAUGAUGAGGGACCCCAAAGCUUGAACUUGCUAGCUUCAUGAUGAAGCACCUUUAAUGUAUUGCAAUAAACAAUAAGGGAGCUCCCGGGCCUCUGAAGGGGUUUGUGCUGUUUCUUUCUGGAAAAGAGAAUUUGCAGAGUAAAUGAAGAAAAGACCAAAACAAGAAGGCUUCAAGUUUGGGGAGGCAAAAUGUUGUAAAGCGCAAUAGCACCCCUCCCUCCGAGACAGAGUUUGUAAAAUCUUAAAGUUAACAUCUACAAAAAUGCCAAGGUUUUCCUGGAAAUGUCAGAAAACACCGGGGAGGCACCCUGGUUCCAGAUCUGGAGGUAGGAGCAGAGUGGGAGUGGGGGGUGGGGUGGGCUCGGGCUCACUUCUGCAGAGCCCACCUCCUGCAAGGGGAAAGCACCCUGUCACCUGUGCCCCCAGUGGGGACAGUGGCAGGGUAAGGGAAGAAAGUCAGAAAAGCAGGCAUAUGUCCCUCGUUUGUUAUGUUUAGUCUUUCAGAAAGCGCGCAUCCACACAAGCAAGCGUUGUUUAUAUUCCAUGAAGACAAACCUUUCAUCGCACCUCCAGAGUUUAAAAGCAACCUAUGGAGCAUUUCGAUUUUGCAGUUUCAGUUUCGUGAAACACAACCUGUGCUUCCCUGCUCAGUGGCACGUCAGCCACUCGUCCCGUGCUUCCCUGGGUCCUGGCCCCAAGCUGCAGAAGGGGUCCUCCAUGGGGUGCCCCAGCCCUAGCCCCCAGUGACCCUGAUGAGCUGUUUCAUGCACCUUGCAAUUUCUGACAUUUUGGGCACCUGACUCUUCCGUCUGGAGCUUCAGGCUCUGUUGUCUUCUGGGGGUGCCCUGUGGCCCCUGGGCUGGGAGCUCCUGAGUGUCUGUGGCUAAGCCCCCUUGUCCCUGUCCCCCACCCCAGGGCAGCACGGGUUCAGCCUGUAAUGAGAGGUGGUGCUCAGUCCAUUCUCACUGGUUUAGCCCAUGAGGAGUAUUGGUUUCUUGAAGCCGGAUACACUGCAGUCCAUGAAAAGCCCCCAGGGACUCAUGUCAAAGUUCUGGGCGUGCUCCCUCCAUCUGUCCCAGUGUCUAGCUCCACUGGAUUCUGAGCAGAGAGGACACUCAGCUUUUGAAUUACUCUCCGUGGCUGUGGGCCCCUGUGGCCAGACAGGUCCCAGCCUUGAUGUCACUCUGGGGACGUGACAUCCGAGCACUCAGUGGAGCGCUUCUGGCCUGCUGAGGCAGGGGUUGGAGGCGGAACCAAAGGCUCAAAGCAUUUGGAACUCUGCUCCAGGAUGCCUUCAAGAUGUGGUCCUUUUCCGCAUCCUGCAUCAACCACGCUGAAUAAAUCCCAGGGGCCCACAGUUUAUGUCCAUACCUGGCAGCUGGCGUGCACAGCUCACAUUCCCACUCUGUUUGCACUAACCCAGCACUUAUCAAAGGGCACGGAGGUGGCUAGAGGGGCCUGGCCCACCAGCAGUGUGGUGAGGUGCCCCAGAGCAACCUUGUAACCAGAUGGCCGACUCUUUGGAGAAGGGCCGGGCAAGUAGGACUGCCCAGACCUGACUCCGGACAUUACGAAUCCUUCUUGCCAUUCCCUUAAGCAUUUCUCACAACCUGUCCAUCCUGCAUGCCCGGCUUCUCAGCUCUAAAGCUUCUCAGUUGUUCUGUUAGAGCCCGUGCAAGCAGGAAGAAGUCAUAUCCAGAGGGCAUUUGGGAAUAAAACAGGAUCAGGAAAGAGGAGCAGGGUUGUGAGAUCUGGGGGAAAGUGACAACAAUGAACACCAGCCACAGAUGGACAGGGAUGGCUUGCUUCUCAGACGUGAUUUACAAAGAGGGACAUCUGAGUUCUGAGGGCUCAGCUCGCCAGGGAUGCUCCAGGGCUAGGCUCUGAGUGUAGAAUCCUGAGCUCAGGGAGCCAGGAGGGGAGUGUCCUGCUGAGGACUCCCACCCACACCUGAGCCUCAUUUUCCAGUCUGUAACCACUGGGACUGUAAUACCUAUCACAUGGGGUGACUGCUGGGGUGGGGGAGAUGGCCAUGAAUCAACCACAUGUAUAAGUCAUUUAAAACUAAAGAAAUUAUCUAAAAUGAAAAUGGAUUGCGGUCACUGAAGUUUUCUAAGUGGGCCAGCGCAACUCAUAUCAGUGGGGAUAUAUAUCUCAUUAUUACUGGAACUAGAAGGUUCCAACACUCAGGUCAUGUCCUGGCCACUAGAGCAGUGGUUCCCCAAUUGUGGUCUCCAGACCAGCAGCACCUAGCUUAGAAAUGUAUGUUCUCGGCGCCUGGGUUUACUGUCUGAUUCGGCUCAGGUCAUGAUCUCAUGAAAUCUAGUCCUGAAUCAGGCUCGGCGCUCAGUGGGGAGUCUUUUUUUCCUCUCCCUCUGCUCCCCCCCCCCCCCCCCCCCCCCCCCCCCCCCCCCGCCCACCAGCCAGCUCAC
rnacentral:lncRNA from 1 species